GCUGAAAAUAGGGCUGAAAGUGGGAUGGAAAUGGGGUUGGAAAUGGAAAUGGGGCUGAAAAUAGGGCUGAAAAUUGGACUGAAAAUGGGAUGGAAAUGGGCUGAAAAUAGGGCUGAAAAUGGGAUGGAAAUGGGGCUGAAAAUAGA